rnacentral:tRNA from 1 species
UUUGACGUGGCCGAGUGGUUAAGGCGAUAGACGAGAAAUCUUUUGGGAGCUUCCCACGCAGGUUCGAAUCCUGCCGACAUCG